rnacentral:misc_RNA from 1 species
GCACUCGCACCUCCCUCACCAUGUCCACCAAAGACUGCUCCUCCCACGGCAAGUGCGAGUGCCGCCGCCACAAGUUCCUCCGCCGCCUCUGUGCCUGGAUCGUCUCCCUCAUCCUCAUAAUCCUCCUCAUCAUCCUCAUCGUGUUCCUCGUCCUCCGCCCCACCCACCCCCGCUUCUACCUCCAAGACGCCACCGUCCGCACCUUCAGCCUCUCCUCCGACUCCAACCUUCUCACCUCCGUCCUCCAGGUCACCAUCUCCUCCCGCAACCCCAACGACCGCAUCGGCGUCAUCUACGACAAGCUCGACGCCUACGCCGUCUACAAGAAUCAACAGAUAACUCUUCCCACCUCCAUCCCUCCUCUCUAUCAGGGACACAAUGAUGUUGAUGUCUGGUCGCCGUAUCUCUCCGGAACUGAUAUUCCGAUCGCUCCGUAUCUCGGGGCGGCGCUGAGGCAGGAUGAGGGGGCGGGGUUUUUGGUGCUGUAUGUGAAGCUGGAUGGAAAAGUUAGGUGGAAGGUGGGGAGCUGGACGUCGGGUCAUUAUCAUAUCGACGUCAGCUGCCCGGCCUUCUUGAGCUUUGAUGGUGGGAAGGGUGGGAGUAAUGGUUAUAAUCCUAUAAUUCGGUUUCAGCAGCUAUCAACUUGUAGUGUUGACGUGUGAAUCCUACAACUACGGUGGCCGGUGAUGUUGAUGGUGAGUCUGUGAAAUUCUUGUAAAAGAUGGGUAUUAUGGUGAAAAUAAUAGUAGGUAUAUGAGAUUCAAAAACAAGCGUAUAAGUUUAUUUGGAAGCAGAAUAUAUAUGUAUUUGGAAGCAAGGUUAUUAGGGCUU